AAUCUACCUUGUACAGAGGGAUAGCCCAGAGAAAUUUGGAUUAAUACCUCACAGUAUUAUUGAAUGGCAUCAUUUAGUAAUUAAAGUUCCAACGGUACAAGAUGAGCAUGCGUCCUAUUAGCUAGUUGGUGUGGUAACGGCAUACCAAGGCUACGAUAGGUAGGGGUCCUGAGAGGGAGAUCCCCCACACUGGUACUGAGACACGGACCAGACUCCUACGGGAGGCAGCAGUGAGGAAUAUUGGACAAUGGGCGCAAGCCUGAUCCAGCCAUGCCGCGUGCAGGAAGACGCGUCUAUGGUGUGUAAACUGCUUUUGCACGGGAAGAAACACUCCCUCGUGAGGGAGCUUGACGGUACCGUAAGAAUAAGGAUCGGCUAACUCCGUGCCAGCAGCCGCGGUAAUACGGAGGAUCCAAGCGUUAUCCGGAAUCAUUGGGUUUAAAGGGUCCGUAGGCGGUUUAAUAAGUCAGUGGUGAAAGCCCAUCGCUCAACGAUGGAACGGCCAUUGAUACUGUUAGACUUGAAUUAUUGUGAAGUAACUAGAAUAUGUAGUGUAGCGGUGAAAUGCUUAGAUAUUACAUGGAAUACCAAUUGCGAAGGCAGGUUACUAACAAUAUAUUGACGCUGAUGGACGAAAGCGUGGGGAGCGAACAGGAUUAGAUACCCUGGUAGUCCACGCCGUAAACGAUGGA
rnacentral:rRNA from 1 species